rnacentral:lncRNA from 1 species
CGGGCGACCGCUGCCUUCUCCUCGGUUGCCAUCAUGCUCCUUUUUGUGUGCGUCGGCGCACAUGCCGGCGGGCGCGGCGACAAGGUCAAGGUGGUGGACCUCGUGGUAGAAACCUGCAAGAACGCUUCGAGCAGCUGCCGCAACAAGCACCUGAACGUCACCCAGGAAUUCUGCGUGCAGACUCUCCGGUCGGACAAAAGGAGCUCCAAGGCCAAGGACCUCCGUGACCUGUCCCUCGUCGCCGUCGACAUCCUCAAGAUCCGUGUGGCAGCUGCCGGCGGCAAGGUGAAGGAAGCACUCCAGAAAGCCAAGAAAGGUACGGACGAGGCACUCGGCCUCAGGUAUUGCCAGGU